rnacentral:rRNA from 1 species
UAACCGCGCCACAAGGGGUAGUCACGUUUAUUGGGCCUAAAGCGCCCGUAGCUGGCUUGGUAAGUCUCUGGUGAAAUCCGGCAGCAAACUGUCGGAAUGGCUGGAGAUACUAUCAGGCUUGAGACCGGGAGAGGGUAGGAGUACUGUACGGGUAGGGGUAAAAUCCUUUAAUCCAUACAGGACUACCUGUGGCGAAGGCGCCUACCUGGAACGGGUCUGACAGUGAGGGGCGAAAGCGUAGGGAGCGAUCGGG